rnacentral:rRNA from 1 species
GUGUCAGCAGCCGCGGUAAGACGAACCGUCCAAACGUUAUUCGGAAUUACUGGGCUUAAAGGGUGCGUAGGCGGCGCGGAAAGUUGGGUGUGAAAUACCUCGGCUCAACCGAGGAAUAGCGCCCAAAACUUCCGUGCUCGAGGGAGACAGAGGUGAGCGGAACUGAUGGUGGAGCGGUGAAAUGCGUUGAUAUCAUCAGGAACACCGGUGGCGAAAGCGGCUCACUGGGUCUUUUCUGACGCUGAGGCACGAAAGCUAGGGGAGCGAACGGGAUUAGAUACCCCCGUAGUCC